UCACACCUCACUUCUCAUUUUCAAUUUUUAGUUAAAGAGAGAGAGAGAGAGAGAGAGAGAGAGUUAAAAGAGAAAAAAAAUUGAGAGUUUAUUUUCUAAAUAGCUAGUGAUGUUUUGGAUUGGUGGGCUAGUGGUGUAUUUAGUCGGAAGAUGGAAAAAUGUUUUAAGGCAUUGAUUCGUAGACAUAACAGCUGGGCAUAUUUUGAGGUAAUCCGGAGAGUAUACGAUAUGCUUCCCACUUCCGAAAUUCUUUCUUUACUCUCAUUUUUGUACUCUUUUUGAUUAUCUCGUGAUAUUUGUUCAAUCUUGUAGAUAUCAUUGGAAAGUGGAAUAAUUAGUAUCGAAUAUGAUAAAGUUGUUGGCUGAGUACUAUAGAACUGUUUAGUACAGGGAUCGAGUGAAUUCAUGCACCAAUAGCCUAUCCAAUAGCCAGAAUGGGUCGAGGAUGACUCGGUAAGGAAGGUAUUGGGAGAGGGUCACUGAUUAUGUACUGAGGAGGACAUGGUAUGAGGUCCUUUGUGAUUGUUGUUUCGACUUGGUGGUCGAUUAUCGCUUAUUAAUUCCACUUGAAUAUAAGAUUAUUAUUCUGUUGUAUCGUAUACUUCCCGAAUAAUUUCUUUUUCAGGUGCGGAACCGGAUUAGUGGAAAUUGAGUCGGAGCAUAUAAGGAUUAAGUUGAAGAGGUCUUGGAAGAUUUGAUAAUUUUGGAGCAUCUAGAAGACUAUUUAGAAGACAACUUAAGUUAUUUUGGUAAUGUAAUUUAUUUAUGGUGAAAUUAGGAGCUUAGAAGUGUUUGAAAUGUAGUGUAUUUUGGAGUUUAUUUAUAGAAAAUAGCGGGGCGUUACACUGAACUUCUCAAAAUAUGUUGUUCUUUAGGUUGACAUGAUGAUUUUUUUUUUUUUUUGGUAAAUUAGCUUGAAAUUAAAAGAGGUUAACCGAAUGUACAGCCUAUGUAGAGACUCGUAUUAUUUUCUUUUUUUUAGGCUAUAUAUAUUUUUUUUGUUUUUUUUGUUAAUGUAUAGCCCGUCAAGAUAGACAGUGCGGAUAUUCGGUGUGACGUCUUCGUUGGAAAAUAUAAGGGUAAUUGUGUGAAGGGUGCACGUGUGAGUGUGGUGCGAGAAGCGGGGGAUUGCUCCCCACUUCUACAAUUUCCCCAGGAGAACCAUUUCCUCCCUUUCUCACUCUCUCGGCAGUCUCUCUCUCCUCUUCUCCUCCGAAAACUCUCUCCUCGAUUGCAUCUAUUUAGAACGUGGUUUCGAACAAAGUUCAAGAAUUAAAAUUGUUAUACGGCGCAUGGGCUUUCCGAAUAUCCAAGAAAAAUCAUGAUCGGACCGCGUGGGAGCUUGGUUGACUUGGUCAAAGGUUCGGGUUUUGCUCAAAACCCAUGAGGUACACUACAUGGACACAGUCUUGGAGGUUGUGAAGUGCAUGCAGACAUCACAGGCUAAAGUUAUUUUCUGAAGAACUUGUCUUUCCUUUGUAAAUCAAACUGUAUUGUACUAUUUUCUCUAAUUUGAAAUACUGUAUUAUAUAGUUGACAAAAUUGUGAGAUUUAGAAACUGUAUGUUAUGUUGUAAUUUGGGGUACCGUAUGUACUAUUGUGAGGAUUUGUAUUUAAAAUGGUAUUGUUAUUUAUGUUAAAAAUUGAGGGCGUGACAGCCUA